UUGAUUAAGGAAAAUGGAAAAAAAUCUUACAUCAGAUGAUUCCAUAAGUGAAUGGUACACGUGCAAUAAUAAGUAAUAGGCACAAUGUGAAUGAAAUAGGAAAUGGACAGAUGAAGCAAAGGAAACAACAUUCCUUUGAAGAUGGAACACAUAAAUCAGGAUAAAUUUUAAAUUGAUGAGACUUCUAACACUGGAGAAGCAAUCCACUUCCUGUGGUAAAGGUGUUUGGAGAGGAGGGGGGUGACCCUAAAUCUUGAAAAUGCUCAGCCAUAGAAAAGCAGAAGUCACUGACAGAAACAGAGGUAACUGCAAGCUCUUGAACAGGGAAGGUGAUGAGUCACAAACGGAAAUAUGUAAUUAAGAAAGGUUGUUGCC